GUGCUUGCUUCAGCAGCACACAUACAAAAAUUGGAAUAAUACAGGGAAAAUUAGCAUAGCCCCUGUACAAGGCAGACACAGAUUUGUGAAGCAAUACACACACAC